rnacentral:rRNA from 1 species
AUUGAACGCUGGCGGCAGGCCUAACACAUGCAAGUCGAACGCGUCGCAGACGUGUGAGUAAUCUCGGAAAAACCGCGAUGGGGGGGGGUAAAUACUGGAAAAGGGGUCUAAUACCGCAUACAAUCAGAGAUGCCCAGAUGGGAUUAGCUAGUAGGUGGGGUAACGGCUCACCUAGGCGACGAUCCCUAGCUGGUCUGAGAGGAUGACCAGCCACACUGGAACUGAGACACGGUCCAGACUCCUACGGGAGGCAGCAGUGGGGAAUAUUGCACAAUGGGCGCAAGCCUGAUGCAGCCAUGCCGCGUGUAUGAAGAAGGCCUUCGGGUUGUAAAGCACUUUUGUCAGGGAAGCGGUACCUGAAGAAUAAGCACCGGCUAACUACGUGCCAGCAGCCGCGGUAAUUC